rnacentral:rRNA from 1 species
GAGGGAAUAUUGGACAAUGGGCGCAAGCCUGAUCCAGCCAUGCCGCGUGAGUGAUGAAGGCCUUCGGGUUGUAAAGCUCUUUUGGCGGGGACGAUGAUGACGGUACCCGCAGAAUAAGCCCCGGCUAACUUCGUGCCAGCAGCCGCGGUAAGACGAAGGGGGCUAGCGUUGUUCGGAAUUACUGGGCGUAAAGCGAGUGUAGGUGGUUAUCCAAGUUGGAUGUGAAAGCCUUGAGCUCAACUCAAGAAAUGCAUUCAGGACUGGAUGGCUAGAGGACCGGAGAGGAUAGUGGAAUUCCCAGUGUAGUGGUGAAAUACGUAGAGAUUGGGAAGAACACCAGUGGCGAAGGCGGCUAUCUGGACGGUUUCUGACACUAAGACUCGAAAGCGUGGGGAGCAAACAGGAUUAGAUACCCUGGUAGUCCACGCCGUAAACGAUGGGUGCUAGACGUUGGCGAGCUUGCUCGUCAGUGUCGCAGCUAACGCGUUAAGCACCCCGCCUGGGGAGUACGGCCGCAAGGUUG